UUGUCUACAGCGCUCUUGCGUCAUCGUUAAACAAAUUAAGCCACGGCCAUAGGUGGCCAUAAAGUUGAUCGCAUCUGCUGAAAUAUGUUCGGCGGCAAUGAUCA
rnacentral:antisense_RNA from 1 species